rnacentral:rRNA from 1 species
UACGAAGGGGGCUAGCGUUGCUCGGAAUGACUGGGCGUAAAGGGCGCGUAGGCGGCUCAUACAGUCAGAUGUGAAAUUCCUGGGCUUAACCUGGGGGCUGCAUUUGAUACGUGUGGGCUUGAGUGGGGAAGAGGGUCGUGGAAUUCCCAGUGUAGGAGGUGAAAUUCGUAGAUAUUGGGAAGAACACCGGUGGCGAAGGCGGCGACCUGGUCCUUGACUGACGCUGAGGCGCGAAAGCGUGGGGAGCAAACAGG